AUGCUCACUUCGGCAGCAUAUAUACUAAAAUUGAAAUGAUACAAAGAAGUUAAGCAUGGCCCCUGCCCAAGGAUGACAUGCAAAUUCAUGAAGCGUUCCAUAUUUUU